CCGGACCUGACUGCUACCGGAUUGGUACUAAGCCAUGCGAGUCAUUGUAGCAAUACAAGGCGGACGGCUCAGUAACACGUAGUCAACCUAACUCGUGGACGUGGAUAACCUCGGGAAACUGAGAAUAAACCACGAUAGAUCAUAGUGCCUGGAAUGGCUUAUGGUCCAAACAGUUUACUGCCAUGGGAUGGGACUGCGGCCUAUCAGCUUGUUGGUGAGGUAAUGGCCCACCAAGGCGAUUACAGGUACGGGCUCUGAGAGGAGAAGCCCGGAGAUGGGUACUGAGACACGGACCCAGGCCCUAUGGGGCGCAGCAGGCGAGAAACCUUAGCAAUGUGCGAAAGCACGACUGGGUCAGUCCGAGUGAUUCCUGAUAAAGGAGUCUUUUGCCUGUCCUAAAAGCACAGGUGAAUAAGGGGUGGGCAAGUCUGGUGUCAGCCGCCGCGGUAAUACCAGCACCUCGAGUGGUCAGGACGUUUAUUGGGCCUAAAGCAUCCGUAGCCGGCUCUGCAAGUCUUCGGUUAAAUCCACCUGCUCAACAGAUGGGCCGCUGGAGAUACUACAGAGCUAGGGAGUGGGAGAGGCAGACGGUAUUCAGUGGGUAGGGGUAAAAUCCUCUGAUCCAUUGAGGACCACCAGUGGCGAAGGCGGUCUGCCAGAACACGUUCGACGGUGAGGGAUGAAAGCUGGGGGAGCAAACCGGAUUAGAUACCCGGGUAGUCCCAGCUGUAAACGAUGCAAACUCGGUGAUGCAUUGGCUUAUGGCCAAUGCAGUGCCGCAGGGAAGCCGUUAAGUUUGCCGCCUGGGAAGUACGGACGCAAGUCUGAAACUUAAAGGAAUUGGCGGGGGAGCACCACAGGGGUGAAGCCUGCGGUUCAUUGGAGUCA
rnacentral:rRNA from 1 species